rnacentral:rRNA from 1 species
UACGUAGGGUGCGAGCGUUGUCCGGAAUUAUUGGGCGUAAAGGGCUCGUAGGCGGUUUGUCACGUCGGGAGUGAAAACUCGGGGCUCAACCCGAGCCUGCUUCCGAUACGGGCAGACUAGAGGUGAUGCAGGGGGAGAAUGGAAUUCCUGGUGUAGCGGUGAAAUGCGCAGAUAUCAGGAGGAACACCGGUGGCGAAGGCGGUUCUCUGGGCAUUACCUGACGCUGAGGAGCGAAAGUGUGGGGAGCGAACAGG